rfam:Oryza nivara chromosome 4, whole genome shotgun sequence.
AAAAAAGCAAACUCUGGGUUUUCGUGUCUAACUUUAACAGUCUGUCUUAUAUGAAUUUUUUUUAUAAUUCAUAUUUUUAUUAUUGUUAGAUGAUAAAACAUGAUUAAUACUUUGUGCGUGACUUGUCUUUUAAUUUUUUUUCAAAUAAGACGGACGGCCAAACGUUGGGCACGGAAAUCAGGGUUUAUCUUUUU